rnacentral:rRNA from 1 species
UCGAGCAGGAACGAAAGUUGGACUUAGUGAUCCGGUGGUACCGAGUGGAAGGGCCAUCGCUCAACGGAUAAAAGCUACCCCGGGGAUAACAGGCUUAUCUCCCCCAAGAGUCCACAUCGACGGGGAGGUUUGGCACCUCGAUGUCGGCUCGUCUCAUCCUGGGGCUGAAGUAGGUCCCAAGGGUUGGGCUGUUCGCCCAUUAAAGAGGCACGCGAGCUGGGUUCAGAACGUCGUGAGACAGUUCGGUCCCUAUCCGCCGUGGGCGUAGGAAAUUUGAGAGGAGCUGUCCCUAGUACGAGAGGACCGGGAUGGACAGACCGCUGGUGCACCAGUUGUUCCGCCAGGGGCACAGCUGGGUAGCCAAGUCUGGAAGGGAUAAGCGCUGAAGGCAUCUAAGCGCGAAGCCCCCCUCAAGAUAAGAUUUCCCAUCCGCAAGGAGUAAGACCCCAGAAAGACUAUCUGGUAGAUAGGCCUGAGGUGUAAGGGCAGUAAUGCCUUUAGCUGACAGGUACUAAUAGGUCGAGGGCUUGACCA